rnacentral:rRNA from 1 species
UACGUAGGUGGCAAGCGUUGUCCGGAUUUACUGGGCGUAAAGAGCGCGCAGGCGGUCGUUCAAGUCGCGUGUGAAAGCCCCCGGCUCAACUGGGGAGGGUCACGCGAUACUGAUCGACUCGAAGGCAGGAGAGGGUAGUGGAAUUCCCGGUGUAGUGGUGAAAUGCGUAGAUAAUCAGGAGGAACACCGGUGGCGAAGGCGGAUCUCUGGGCCUUACCUGACGCUGAGGCGCGAAAGCUAGGGGAGCGAACAGGA